rnacentral:ncRNA from 1 species
UAAAUUUUUUAUGGUUUAAAAAAUUUAUAAUAAAUUUGUUUUACAUAUAAAUUUUAGUGUUAAUUUUUAAUUAUUUUAAUAAUAAUUAAUUAAAGUUAAAAUAGUAAUUAAUAUUAAAAAUUUAAGAAAUUAAGAUUUAGCAUUAUAUGAAUUAUUAACUAAUUUUGUGCCAGCAGUUGCGGUUAUACAAAAAAUAAAUUAAAUUUUUUUAGUGUUUAAUAAAUAAUUAAUUAUAAUAAUUUAAAAUUUAAAUUAUUAAGUGAAAUUUUAAUUUAAUAAAAAUUUAUUAAAAAUUUAUGUUAUUAAUAAAUUUUAUAAAAAACUAGGAUUAGAUACCCUAUUAUUAAAAAUUUAAAUUAAAAAUACUAAAAUAGUAGAUAAUUAUUUAUUGAAACUUAAAUAAUUUGGCGGUAUUUUAGUUCUUUUAGAGGAAUCUGUUUAUUAAUUGAUAAUCCACGAAUUAAUUUACUUAAUUUAAAAGUUUAUAUAUCGUUGUUAAAAAAAUAUUUUUUAAUAAAAAUAAUAUUUUAAAAUUUAAAUAAAAAAUUAAAUCAGAUCAAGAUGUAGUUUAUAGUUAAGAAUAUAAUGGAUUACAAUAAAUUUAUUUAUAUGGAAUUUAAUUAGUAAUGGUUAAAUGAAAGUGGAUUUAAAUGUAAUUUUUUUUUAAUUAAUAAAAUGAUUAAAAAUUAAAAUAUGUACAUAUUGCCCGUCGCUUUCAUUUAUAAAUUGGAAUAAGUCGUAACAAAGUAGAGGUACUGGAAAGUGUUUCUAGAAAGA